GCUUUGUUGCUGAAACAGAAACUGGCAGUUAUCACCCAAAAUUUCGUUAUAGUGGAAGCGAGAAAUUUCUUCAGAGAUGUGCAAAGUAAACGUAACUAAACUGAUGCUUCUUACAGUGGACUGCAUAAACGUAACUAAACUGAUGCUUCUUAUUAUGGUGGAAAAUGAUCAAAGGCUAUGCAGCGUCAGAAAGAAGAAACGUUUAAAAGAAACAUAAAACUUAAAAGCAAUAUCCGCUCUAGCUCGUUAUCAGUUAACACUUAAUUGAAAGAUCCAACAAACAAAGGCAAAUAUAUUUGAUACUCACGUAAUAUUCUCCCCUCCAAAUUUAUAUCUCGUCUUCACCAAAAAAGCCACCACCGCAGCACCACACAAAACAAGAGACGAAAUCCCCAAGGUGAUAAUGGACGUCAGUCCAACUUCUACAGUGAGGAGAAGGACUCUUGACAUUCGUUUAUGUGCCUUGUCUAUGGCAUCUGUUAGUGAUUCCAGACGUUUUAGCACCCGAGCAACAGCACUUGGACAGUGGAUUGCUGAUAAAAAAAUACGUGUUGGUAACUGCAAAUGUUAACUGUUAAGUCAAUCGCAAAA